rnacentral:rRNA from 1 species
UACGUAGGUGGCAAGCGUUGUCCGGAAUUAUUGGGCGUAAAGCGCGCGCAGGCGGUCUUUUAAGUCUGAUGUGAAAGCCCCCGGCUCAACCGGGGAGGGUCAUUGGAAACUGGGAGACUUGAGUGCAGAAGAGGAGAGUGGAAUUCCACGUGUAGCGGUGAAAUGCGUAGAGAUGUGGAGGAACACCAGUGGCGAAGGCGACUCUCUGGUCUGUAACUGACGCUGAGGCGCGAAAGCGUGGGGAGCAAACAGGAUUAGAAACCCCCGUAGUCC